AUGUCGCGCAACAAGUAUUUAGGCCAAAAGGCGGUGUCUCAGGCAUAUUGGAAACCUGGCGACUCACACUUUUGGGCUGGCCUAAUAGCGGCAAAGAAACAACUCUUUCUCUUUGGGUCUUUUGCGAUAAAGGAUGGGUCGAAGAUUCGUUUCUGGGAAGAUAUCUACCUAGGCAAUGCCAGUCUCCAAGAACAAUAUCCAGCUUUGUACAACAUUGCUCGCGAUAAGAACUAUACUAUUGCGCAGGUGCUUAGCUCAUCCCCGCCGAAUAUUUCGCUCAAGCGAGAUUUGGUUGGCGCCCGACUUAUGUCAUGGCAUAAUCUCUUAUCCCGUCUAGAUCUGAUUAACCUGACGUAAGGCCAUGAUGUGUUUCGCUGGAACCUUACUACAUCGGGGUCUUUCACGGUAGACUCUAUGUAUCGUGCGCUCAUGCAUUUUGAGGUACCGGUGAGCAAUAACAAUAAAAUCUGGAAGACAAAGAUUGCACUAAAAGUUAAAAUAUUCAUGUGGUAUCUUCGUAGAGGUAUUGUGCUAACCAAAGACAACCUCGCUCGACGCAACUGA
rnacentral:rRNA from 1 species